rnacentral:rRNA from 1 species
CCUACGGGAGGCAGCAGUGGGGAAUCUUGCGCAAUGGGCGAAAGCCUGACGCAGCCAUGCCGCGUGAAUGAUGAAGGUCUUAGGAUUGUAAAAUUCUUUCAGUAGGGACGAUAAUGACGGUACCUACAGAAGAAGCCCCGGCUAACUUCGUGCCAGCAGCCGCGGUAAUACGAAGGGGGCUAGCGUUGCUCGGAAUUACUGGGCGUAAAGGGAGCGUAGGCGGACAUUUAAGUCAGGGGUGAAAUCCCAGAGCUCAACUCUGGAACUGCCUUUGAUACUGGGUGUCUUGAGUGUGAGAGAGGUAUGUGGAACUCCGAGUGUAGAGGUGAAAUUCGUAGAUAUUCGGAAGAACACCAGUGGCGAAGGCGACAUACUGGCUCAUUACUGACGCUGAGGCUCGAAAGCGUGGGGAGCAAACAGGAUUAGAUACCCUGGUAGUCCACGCCGUAAACGAUGAUUGCUAGUUGUCGGGAUGUUUACAUCUCGGUGACGCAGCUAACGCAUUAAGCAAUCCGCCUGGGGAGUACGGUCGCAAGAUUAAAACUCAAAGGAAUUGACGGCUGAGACGNGCGAGACGACGACGAGGGAGAGG